AGAGUUUGAUCAUGGCUCAGGACCAACGCUGGCGGCGUGCGUAACACAUGCAAGUCGAACGGGCUUAUCUUUCGGGAUGAGUCAGUGGCGGACGGGUGAGGAACACGUGGAUAACCUAUCCCGCGGUGGGGGAUACCUGCCAGAAAUGGUGGUUAAGCCCGCAUGCGUGCGGUACCGGGCAACGGUGCCGCGGAAAGCCC
rnacentral:rRNA from 1 species